UACAGAGGGGGCAAGCGUUAUUCGGAAUUAUUGGGCGUAAAGGGCGCGUAGGCGGCUUCGCAAGUGGAAGGUGAAAUCCCACGGCUCAACCGUGGAACUGCCUCGGAUACUGGCGGCCUCGAGGGAGGUAGGGGCGUGCGGAACUGUGGGUGGAGCGGUGAAAUGCGUUGAUAUCCACAGGAACUCCGGUGGCGAAGGCGGCACGCUGGACCUCUUCUGACGCUGAGGCGCGAAAGCCAGGGGAGCAAACGGG
rnacentral:rRNA from 1 species